AAUAUUGCACAAUGGGCGCAAGCCUGAUGCAGCGACGCCGCGUGAGGGAUGACGGNCUNNGGGUUNUNAACCUCUUUCAGUGCNNNNNAAGCGGAAGUGCCGGUAGGCACAGAAGAAGGACCGGCCAACUACGUGCCAGCAGCCGCGGUAAUACGUAGGGUCCGAGCGUUGUCCGGAAUUACUGGGCGUAAAGAGCUCGUAGGUGGUUUGUCGCGUUGUCCGUGAAAACUCACAGCUUAACUGUGGGCGUGCGGGCGAUACGGGCAGACUAGAGUACUGCAGGGGAGACUGGAAUUCCUGGUGUAGCGGUGGAAUGCGCAGAUAUCAGGAGGAACACCGGUGGCGAAGGCGGGUCUCUGGGCAGUAACUGACGCUGAGGAGCGAAAGCGUGGGGAGCGAAC
rnacentral:rRNA from 1 species